rnacentral:rRNA from 1 species
CCUACGGGAGGCAGCAGUAAGGAAUAUUGGUCAAUGGACGCAAGUCUGAACCAGCCAUGCCGCGUGAAGGAUUAAGGCCCUCUGGGUUGUAAACUUCUUUUAUAGGGGACGAAAAAAGGGCAUUCUUGCUCACUUGACGGUACUCUAGGAAUAAGCACCGGCUAACUCCGUGCCAGCAGCCGCGGUAAUACGGAGGGUGCAAGCGUUAUCCGGAUUUACUGGGUUUAAAGGGUGCGUAGGUGGGUUGGUAAGUCAGUGGUGAAAUCUUCGAGCUUAACUCGGAAACUGCCAUUGAUACUAUCAAUCUUGAAUCAUCUAGAGGUAAGCGGAAUAUGUCAUGUAGCGGUGAAAUGCUUAGAUAUGACAUAGAACACCAAUUGCGAAGGCAGCUUACUAUGGAUGUAUUGACACUGAGGCACGAAAGCUGGGGAUCAAACAGGAUUAGAUACCCUGGUAGUCCACGCCCUAAACCGAUAGAUACUACACAUUGUUGUAUAUACUAAUAAGUAGUACUGUAGACGAAGACGAGUUAAGUUAGUACCACCGUACGGUAAGGUAACGUAACCGACGAAGGUUAAGUUAAACGUUAAAAGUAAAGUUAGUUACGGCGUAGGAGACGAGACGACGGACGACGACGAGGGAGGAGG